AGUGAACGCUGGCGGUAGGCCUAACACAUGCAAGUCGAACGGCAGCACAGUAAGAGCUUGCUCUUACGGGUGGCGAGUGGCGGACGGGUGAGGAAUACAUCGGAAUCUACUUUUUCGUGGGGGAUAACGUAGGGAAACUUACGCUAAUACCGCAUACUACCUACGGGUGAAAGCAGAGGAUCUUCGGACCUUGCGCGAUUGAAUUAGCCGAUGUCGGAUUAGCUAGUUGGCGGGGUAAAGGCCCACCAAGGCGACGAUCCGUAGCUGGUCUGAGAGGAUGAUCAGCCACACUGGAACUGAGACACGGUCCAGACUCCUACGGGAGGCAGCAGUGGGGAAUAUUGGACAAUGGGCGCAAGCCUGAUCCAGCCAUACCGCGUGGGUGAAGAAGGCCUUCGGGUUGUAAAGCCCUUUUGUUGGGAAAGAAAAGCAGCAGGUUAAUACCCCGCUGUUCUGACGGUACCCAAAGAAUAAGCACCGGCUAACUUCGUG
rnacentral:rRNA from 1 species